AGUGAACGCCGGCGGUAGGCCUAACACAUGCAAGUCGAACGGCAGCACAGUAAGAGCUUGCUCUUACGGGUGGCGAGUGGCGGACGGGUGAGGAAUACAUCGGAAUCUACUUUUUCGUGGGGGAUAACGUAGGGAAACUUACGCUAAUACCGCAUACGACCUACGGGUGAAAGCAGGGGAUCUUCGGACCUUGCGCGAUUGAAUGAGCCGAUGUCGGAUUAGCUAGUUGGCGGGGUAAAGGCCCACCAAGGCGACGAUCCGUAGCUGGUCUGAGAGGAUGAUCAGCCACACUGGAACUGAGACACGGUCCAGACUCCUACGGGAGGCAGCAGUGGGGAAUAUUGGACAAUGGGCGCAAGCCUGAUCCAGCCAUACCGCGUGGGUGAAGAAGGCCUUCGGGUUGUAAAGCCCUUUUGUUGGGAAAGAAAAGCAGCAGGUUAAUACCCCGCUGUUAUGACGGUACCCAAAGAAUAAGCACCGGCUAACUUCGUG
rnacentral:rRNA from 1 species